CGGCUGCGGCUGCUGCUACUGCGGCUGCCGCCUCAGAGUUGACUCCCAACUGAAGGGACCGUUUCCUGGAAGACAAUGACUAAGCAGAAAUCGCGGCUGAGAAAGUGCUUGAUCCUCAGUGGUGUUCCACCAGAGUGUCAAUGAGGCUUAGUCACAGCAAAUGCCAGUCAGGAUUCAUCCAGUGGUGGGGCAAUCCUGCUAAGUGUAAGCCAAAAAAAAGAAAAAUCUAGGGAGUGUUCAAGAAACACAUGUCUUGGUCUAGAAGCUGGUGACUGGGUGGCUGCAGGGCUGAGCUCUUAGCAUGUUGGCUCAGUGGCUGAACAUGGACCCAGACAGAGGCCUCAUGGUUGUUUCAAGCAUGCUCAUUUGAGUGGCCACUCAUUGGCGUAGGGAAUCAGAAAAAAGAAGCCUGAAACAUAUGGUUCUUGCCCUCUGAGAUGGCAGAAUAUGAAAUGAAAUGUUACAGACGAUGGCAUCGUGCAAUCCUGGGGGAGACGCAGCUUUGCCGUGGAAGAGGCACGGAAGAUGCGACCAGGGCUGGGCUCUGAGGGUUCAUCCUGGGAUGCACGUGGGUGGUGAGCACCAGGGUAAUGUGAACAUUACCUAACCUUCCAUGCUGUCAGGCAGUGUCAGUUGGCUUGGGUUUUUUUACCAGGCAGAAUCACCAGAUAAUGAGAAGGCAUUUUUCUGCAGAAAUCCUGCUCAGUUGGUUAGGCAGCUCCAAGGGGGUGAGUGGGCAGGCUCUUGGUUGGAAUGUCAUUGUCAUAUUUAUCAAUGCAUUAAUCACCACUGGCUGUAGGAAACUAGGCUACAAGCAGGGUGAGUUCCAUUCUCUGAAAUGAUAGAGUUGGCAUUUCAGGUAAGUAGCUGACAUGGCCUGCACCCAAAUUCCCCCUGGGCUUUUGUUAACCAAACGAGCACAUGUUCUGUCCUGUCCAAAGCUCCUGUGGCCCUGACUAGACUGGACAUGGAUCUACCCCAGGCUCCAGCCCCCAGCACAGCCUGUAUUCUCUAGAAUCCAGAGGUCCAUCAGUGGACCUAGGGCCCCAAAGCUUUUGUAUUUUCGCAGCAAGCACUGGUUGCCCUGGGUUUGGGGCUACAAAUGUCGCAAGGAAAACAGUCCAGGAGUACUCAGGCAUGACCCUCCCAGUGGCCUCUUUUCUCAGGAGUCUGUCUCUUUCAGAGCCUACUCUGAGCUCUACACCCCAUGGGUAGCAGAAGGUUACUGGGGGAUUAUCAAAGGAUUAGGGAGCUUUGCUGAGUGAGCAUGGAUGGGGUACUUUCUGCCAGAGUGACUUUUCUGAAACAGAUCUGAUCACACCACCCCUCUAUGGCUCUACAUCUCCUACAGCUGUAUUUAGACAAGUGUUAUCCAAUCAUCCUCUUCAACAAACUCAUCCAGCAAAGGGAGUGCUUAUAAAAAUGCAGAUUCCUGGGUCCACUCCCUGACCUGCUAAAUCUGAAUUUCUGUGUGCAGCAUUCGGGAACCACAGUUAGAACAAACUCCCCCAUGGAUAUCUCCUGUUACAGGAUAAAAUCCAAACUGCAGAGCCUGGAGUACAAGACCCACCAGGAUGUAGAUCUGUCUCUAUCUUCUCUCCCCCUGGAAGCACCUGCUCACCCUGUACUCCCAGCUUCUAGCCAGACUGAUGCACUGCACAGAGUUAGGGUCUCUCAC